rnacentral:rRNA from 1 species
UACGAAGGGGGCUAGCGUUGCCCGGAAUCACUGGGCGUAAAGGGUGCGUAGGCGGGUCUUUAAGUCAGGGGUGAAAUCCUGGAGCUCAACUCCAGAACUGCCUUUGAUACUGAGGAUCUUGAGUUCGGGAGAGGUGAGUGGAACUGCGAGUGUAGAGGUGAAAUUCGUAGAUAUUCGCAAAAACACCAGUGGCGAAGGCGGCUCACUGGCCCGAUACUGACGCUGAGGCACGAAAGCGUGGGGAGCAAACAGG